UCCGCCUUGAGCACCGAGGUACCAGAGACCGGGGCAACCCGGUCACUGGCUGCAGGUACAGUUGCCCGGAGGACUUCAGACGACUUGGUCAACGCAGUGAACAACUCACCACCAGACCAUGAGGAUGCGAUCCACAUUCCAGCCAUGUCACACCCCGGCAGAAUGUUCUUCACUUCUAGGCUCAUUGAACCUUCUUCCUGGGAUUUCGGUCUGGCUUUUCACCAAUUGAUCAUGGUCUGCCUUCCUCUCUUGGUAUUUUGAUAUACAAAAGAUGACCAGCAAGAUAAUGACAAUAGCUAGAAUCAAAGAAACAACAA